CUGCUGCCUUCCGUAGGAGUUUGGUCCGUGUCUCAGUACCAAUGUGGGGGGUUAACCUCUCAGUCCCCCUAUGUAUCGUCGCCUUGGUAAGCCGUUACCUUACCAACCAGCUAAUACAACGCAUGCCCAUCUGUAACCGCCGAAACUUUCAACCACAAGAGAUGCCUCUCACGNGUU
rnacentral:rRNA from 1 species